rnacentral:lncRNA from 10 species
CAAAAAGUAAGUUUUUUUUAUUACAUUCACAAAGAGUUGUUUUACUAUAUCUUAUUUUAUAAAAUCAUUAUAUAUAUAUAUACACAUAUAUAUAUUUGCCACUUUGAAAUAAUUUCUUAAAGGAUUAAACCAAGAACUUACAUGUAUGUAAAAUACACACCUACACAUGUAUAUAUAGUCCAACACCUAAAAUCUAUAUUUUAUAUACUAUACUGAGUGAAACUAUAUAUGAGAAUGUUUAAAACAUUCAUUUCCAUAUAUUACUCUAAAUAAACAAAUAUAUCAUUUUAAAUACUAAAAUAAUUGUAGUAAUAUUUCCAUAUCUAAAGUGGGAAGUCAUUCAACCUCAUUAUGUUAUUGCAGUGCUUGUUUCCAUGGCAACUCCUUCAACUUCACUGUGUUAGUAACCAUAGAUUCACAGCCCUGGAAGGGCUUGGAAAGUACGCAAUAGAAUGCUCUCACUUUCAAUUAAGAAAUUGAAAUCCAGACUCCCGGACUUUUGACUUACCCACUGUCAGACCACUAGUUAAUGUCAGAGCAGGAAGUAUAAGGUAAAGCUCUCUUGAGAGAUCAGAAUUUGCAGUAGAUCUGUGACUUAGAAGAUACAUACCAGCUGACUCUCAGAUACUGUAGAAGAUGGUGAGGAGAGAUUUGCCUGCAAAACAUAAACAUGGCAUUUAUUAGUGAAACUCAUAAUUUAUUAAAAUAUGUAUGUGUUUAAGUAUUUUGAAGUUUGUUUAUUAUUAUAUGUCCAUGAUAGGAUUUUGAAAAGUAUAAAGAAAAGGAAAAAUAUCCUUAUGCCACCAAAGAAAUGAUUUUUAAUAUUUUUGGUACAUAGCCAUAAAUAUUUUUCCUAUGUAUUUUUAUUCAGCCUACAUAAUAGUGAAUAUGAUGUUUAUAUGCUGCUUUUCUUUCUCAUUUUCUUAACAUAAGCAUUAUAUCAUGACAUCAAAACUUCUUCAAGGUUACCUAACAUUUCAUUCUUUGUAUUCUUCACAUUUUAAUCAAACAUACCAGCAUCGUUGCUAUUUCUAUUUAUUUAAAGCAAAUUGAAACAAAUAACAGAUAUUUCUUUAAAGUAUUGUUAUAUAAAAAGAAAAGCAUAACAAAGUUUUUAUGAUUUGAGAAUAAAAAUGACUUGGUUUUUAGAAUUGUUUAAAUUAAAGAGCAGAUUAAUAUUGUUUGUCAUUGGCUCCUAUAUUUCAACCCUUUCAUCUGGAUUUAGUUUCUUUCAUUUUUAAAAAUGUUAUUGUCGUAAGAACAUUUAACAUGAAAUCUGUAAUUUGAACAUGUUUGUAAGUGCAUAAUACAGUAUUGUUGGCUAUAGGUGCAAUGUUGUAUGGCAAAUGUCUAGAAUUUAUUCAUCUUGUUUAACUGAAACUUCAUGUUGAUUAGUAACUUCCCAUUUCCCCCUGCUCCCUAGUUUCCUUCUUACUAAAGUAAAGGUUUUUGUGGUUUUUUCAGGCCUUACUGUCUUGGAUGUUGUCUGAAAAUGUUUUUAUCAUGUUCUCAUUCUUGAGUGACAGUCCAACUGGACGCAGAAUUCCAGGGUAGUAGCAUUUCUGUCUUUUGCAGAUGCUGUCCCACAGACUCUGGCUUUUGUUGUUGUUGGCAUAAAUGUUGUAACUUGGAGGAUCUUCUGUCUUCAAAUUUGAUUAACAUUUAAAGUUUACCUCCGUGAUAUUCUGUAAUUUCACUAUGAUGUGCCUUGGUGUAGAUUUCUUUUUCUUGUGUUUUGGGGGUCUUGGUAUGUUCUUUUAUUCUGAGUAUGCAUAUCUUCUGAAAAAUCCUACAUGACUAUCUCUUCAAAUGCUGCCUUUCUCCCAUUAUAUCUAAGCUCUAGUUAUUGAUCUUCUAUUAAAUAUAUAGUAAUGUGCCACACAAUGAUGUUUCAGUUGAUGAUGGACCUCAUGUAUGACAGGGGUCCCAUAAGACUAUAGUGGAGCCAAAAAUAUUCCUGUCACCUAGUAACGUCUUAAUUAUCUUGACUCUGUGUAGGCCUAAGCUAAUGUGUAUGUUUGUGUCUUGGUGUUUAACAAAAAAAGCUUAAAGAGUAUAAUAAAUAAAAAAUAAAAAUUUGAAAUAGAAAAAACUUAUAGAAUAAGAGUGUAAAAAAUAUUUUUGGACAGCUGUAAAAUGCAUUUGUGUUUCAAGCUACAUGUUCCUACAAAAGAGUCAAAAAGUUUUAAAAAUUAAAAAGUUUAUAAAAUAAAAAACCUACAGUAAGCUAAGGUUAAUUUAUUGUUGAAGAAAGAAAAACAUAAACUUAAUGUAGCUAAAAGUCUACAGUAGUGUACAGUAAUAACCUUAGUUCUUCACAUUCACUCACCACUAACUCAUUGAUUCACCCAGAGAAACCUCCAGUCCUGC